rnacentral:rRNA from 1 species
UACAGAGGUCUCAAGCGUUGUUCGGAUUCAUUGGGCGUAAAGGGUGCGUAGGCGGCGCGGUAAGUCGGGUGUGAAAUCUCGGGGCUUAACUCCGAAACUGCAUUCGAUACUGCUGUGCUUGAGGACUGGAGAGGAGACUGGAAUUUACGGUGUAGCAGUGAAAUGCGUAGAGAUCGGAAGGAAGACCAGUGGCGAAGGCGGGUCUCUGGACAGUUCCUGACACUGAGGCACGAAGGCCAGGGGAGCAAACGGG